rnacentral:rRNA from 1 species
GACGGAGGUGGCAAACGUUGCUCGGAAUUACUGGGCUUAAAGGGCGUGUAGGCGGUCGAUUAAGUCGGGUGUGAAAAACCUCGGCCCAACCGAGGAAUUGCACUCGAUACUGACCGGCUAGAGUGCGAGAGGGGCAAGUGGAACUCCAGGUGUAGCGGUGAAAUGCGUAGAUAUCUGGAGGAACGCCGGUGGCGAAAGCGACUUGCUAGCUCGUAACUGACGCUGAGGCGCGAAAGCCAGGGGAGCAAACGGG